CAGAAUAGACACCAUGAAGAAAACUGUGAAGAUUAAAGCACAUCACGCAGAAAACCAAAAGAAAGGGGAUGGAAAGAAGGAGAAAAAAGAAGAGAAGACGCUGGAUGUUGGAUACUUUCAGCUGGUAGAAAACACAACAUCUAAUCAAUCAAUAUGAACACAA